rnacentral:rRNA from 1 species
GAUCGGGAUAACACCUGGAAACAGAUGCUAAUACCGGAUAACAACAGAUGAUGCCUAUCAACUGUUUAAAAGAUGGUUCUGCUAUCACUCUUGGAUGGACCUGCGGUGCAUUAGCUAGUUGGUAGGGUAACGGCCUACCAAGGCGAUGAUGCAUAGCCGAGUUGAGAGACUGAUCGGCCACAUUGGGACUGAGACACGGCCCAAACUCCUACGGGAGGCAGCAGAU